rnacentral:rRNA from 5 species
UCUGCCAUCAGGUCUGGGACAACCACUGGAAACGGUGGCUAAUACCGGAUGUGCCCUUCGGGGUGAAAGGUUAACUGCCUGUUGAUGAGCUCGCGUCUGAUUAGCUAGUUGGUGUGGUAAGAGCGCACCAAGGCGACGAUCAGUAGCUGGUCUGAGAGGACGAUCAGCCACACUGGGACUGAGACACGGCCCAGACUCCUACGGGAGGCAGCAGUGGGGAAUUUUCCGCAAUGGGCGAAAGCCUGACGGAGCAAUACCGCGUGAGGGAGGAAGGCUCUUGGGUCGUAAACCUCUUUUCUCAGGGAAGAACACAAUGACGGUACCUGAGGAAUAAGCAUCGGCUAACUCCGUGCCAGCAGCCGCGGUAAUACGGAGGAUGCAAGCGUUAUCCGGAAUGAUUGGGCGUAAAGCGUCCGCAGGUGGCUAUGUAAGUCUGCUGUUAAAGAGUCUAGCUCAACUAGAUAAGAGCAGUGGAAACUACAAGGCUAGAGUGCGUUCGGGGCAGAGGGAAUUCCUGGUGUAGCGGUGAAAUGCGUAGAGAUCAGGAAGAACACCGGUGGCGAAGGCGCUCUGCUAGGCCGCAACUGACACUGAGGGACGAAAGC